rnacentral:rRNA from 1 species
CCUACGGGAGGCUGCAGUGGGGAAUAUUGGGCAAUGGGCGCAAGCCUGACCCAGCAACGCCGCGUGAAGGAAGAAGGCUCUCGGGUUGUAAACUUCUUUUAUCAGGGACGAAGCAAGUGACGGUACCUGAUGAAUAAGCCACGGCUAACUACGUGCCAGCAGCCGCGGUAAUACGUAGGUGGCAAGCGUUAUCCGGAUUUACUGGGGGUAAAGGGCGUGUAGGCGGGAAAGCAAGUCAGAUGUGAAAACCAUGGGCUCAACCUGUGGCCUGCAUUUGAAACUGUUUUUCCUGAGUACUGGAGAGGCAGACGGAAUUCCUAGUGGAGCGGUGAAAUGCGUAGAUAGUAGGAGGAACACCAGUGGCGAAGGCGGUCUGCUGGACAGCAACUGACGCUGAGGCGCGAAAGCGUGGGGAGCAAACAGGAUUAGAUACCCGAGUAGUC